AACUAAAGAACAUACUUUUCUACUUGGUUCUGACUAUAUUCAACUUUUAAAAUUUUUGACACGUUUUUCAAGCGGCAAAGAAACUUUCAAAGUAUGUUUAGUGCUUUAUCUGCAACAUUAGAUGGUACGCCAAAGAGUAACAUGGUACGACAAAGAGGCACAUGUCAAAUUUAAAUAAAUCAAUACGAUUAAUCUAUAUGAAUCGAUCAUGAAAAUGAACCGAUGGGAGCAGCUCUACUUGCGACGCGAAUGUUUGAAUUUACUGGUCGACAAACGUAAAAACGCGCAAGCUGUUACAAAGGCCGGUUGUUCAAAGCUCAGCUCAAACCUCGGUUAAAAUUUAACCCGCUGUUUUAGGGCUUGUCAUAUGGGGAAAAGUUAUCCCGGUUAGCGAGAAAACAUUUCGACUAGGCAAAUAAUUUUGUUCUGUUCAUAUGGAGAAACGUUAUUCCGCUUACCGGGUAAAGUUUUCAGCUUGUGACGUAGCACCUAGUGUUACGCGCAAGGAUUUGUAAGAAAGUUUUCCCGCUAAGCGGGAAAGUUGUGGCUAUGUUGUGUUUAUAUGGGAAAGACAUCCCGGUCACCGAGAUCUCGCCUGUAAACAAACGAGAUCUCAUGCAGUACACGGGAAAACUUUUUGUCUCAUAUGAAAGCAGUGUAACUUUUCAUAUUAUUUUCAUACCAAGGCGAG